GGGGAAGUUAAAACUAUUGAGUUUUAUAUAUGUUAUUAAUAACAUACACUGGGCUUUAUUAAUACAAUUGGCCCGCUACUAUAAUACAUUUAUACAAGACAUAAUUGAUAUAUUUGCUUAUAGAUCCUCCCAAGAAUCUUCAUCAAAUCUUUUUAUUGUGUGUUCCGUAACUUUUCUGCACAAAUUAAACAUAAAGUAAUAAAAUUUAUAUCCUAAACACGUUUAUUGUAAGGUAUUAAAUGUCAACUAUACAAUUGAGUUAUAAACUUAACCCUAACCCUAAUGAUUAAAUCUAUUUAACCAUAAUAGAUUUCUUACAUGAAACACAAAAAACAUGAACAAUAGACAUCUUAUGAUUCCGACAAUUGUUCUCUUCUCUUUAUUCUCUCAAAAGUUAUUCGAUGCUAUAGAUAUAUCCAAUGUUUCCAAAAGCAAAAUCAAUGGGCAAGCAGGGGCCAUGUUUUCACUGUGGCAUCACGAGUCCAUCACAGCUACUUGAUUUCUAUCACAGCUACUUGUCUAUGGAGGAAUGGGCCUCCGGAGAAGUCAGUUUUGUGCAACGCUUGUGGUUCCAGUUGGAGAACGAAGGGUACACUUGCAAACUACAUGCCUCGCAAUGCACAUGGACCUUCGCUUACUUCUUACAAAACAUAAAAAUCUAGCACCGCCGACAAUAGAAAGGAUAAGGGUAAGAGCAAGAAGGAACCCCCCUCCAAACAUAGUCGGAAAAGAAGCGCAUUAUGUGAGAAUAAAGAAGAUAAUGAUGUUGACGACAGAGAUUGGAAUAACAUUUUAGAUCUGAAAAAGAAAAAAAAAUAAUCAAACAACAUUUAAAAUUCUAAAGGAAAAAAUCAGCAAAAUAUUUAAGAUUUAUAAAUACAAGCAAAACAUAAUGUUAAAUAGAAUGCCAAAAUAGAUAAAAUAUAUUUGAUAUAUAACGUAAUCUUAAAAAUAGAUGUAAAUACCUACAUAAGCAAUUAUAAUAUUUACAAAUUACGUAUAAAUUAUUUUACAAAUUACAGAUUUUUGACAGUUGGCCAUCUAAAAUAAUGAAUUCACAUAAAAUGUCGUGGGACAUGGCUGGACAGGUGUUGAAGAACAUUGGAAAUUCCUUUAUACCCAAAUUACAAUUUUUUAACACUUGACCAUUUAAAAAGUAAAAAUAACAGAUUCAAAUUAUAAGAUGUUGUGACACAUGGUCUAUUUACUUUAUAUCCAAAUUCUUUAUUUACUGUUUUAAACAUUAGACUUACAAAACAUUCGAUAGCAUGCAUCAAUUCCUUUUUGCAGUUGAUUUUAUACCAACAAAUUUAAUAGAAACGAUCCCUUUAAAUGGCAAUGAUCGAUUGUUGCAUCAAAAAUUAAAUGAUAAAUAAGAAUCUCAAAAUUUAUGUAUAAUUUUUUUAAAAAAACUUGCUGCAUCAAAAACGAAACAGUAUUUAAAAGAAUGACAAACCUUAAAAUUAAUUUCCAGUAUCUAGGAUUUAAAGCAGAAAAUCUUGAACAAGAAUGAGAAAAGGAGAAGGAUGAAAAGAUGAUGAAUAAAAUGGAAAAAGAAGAAAAUGUAAGAGGAUCGAGGAGAGGAAGAUUAGGGAAUAAAAGAUGAAAAAUAGAAAAUGAGAAGCCUAAAUGAAGAAGAAGAAGAAGAAUAUAGAAAACCAAAGAAGAAUCAAAUGUAUUACUUAGCGUUUCUGGAAUCUGUUGCCUCAGUCCAUAAAUGUUGUGGAAGGUUUGGUCACGAUCAUGGAAGUGAUGGGUUCUUGAGGGUCGUGGAAGGUUGGCUGAAAAACUGGGGAAGAAACGAUGUGAUAAUAUUGAGACCAGGAGAAAGUAAAAGUGUUUAAAUUUACUUAAGAAAAAAUAUUUUUGGGGGAAAGAAGGAAUGAAAAUUAUUUUUGGGGGGAAAUGUAUUAAUGAAACA
rnacentral:lncRNA from 1 species